rnacentral:rRNA from 1 species
GAUGAACGCUGGCGGCGUGCCUAAUACAUGCAAGUCGAGCGAACGGACGAGAAGAUUGCUUCUCUGAUGUUAGCGGCGGACGGGUGAGUAACACGUGGAUAACCUACCUAUAAGACUGGGAUAACUUCGGGAAACCGGAGCUAAUACCGGAUAAUAUUUUGAACCGCAUGGUUCAAAAGUGAAAGACGGUCUUGCUGUCACUUAUAGAUGGAUCCGCGCUGCAUUAGCUAGUUGGUAAGGUAACGGCUUACCAAGGCAACGAUGCGUAGCCGACCUGAGAGGGGGGUCGGCCACCCUGGAACGUGAACCGCGUCCAGACUCCUACGGGAGGCAGCAGUAGGGAAUCUUCCGCAAUGGGCGAAAGCCUGACGGAGCAACGCCGCGUGAGUGAUGAAGGUCUUCGGAUCGUAAAACUCUGUUAUUAGGGAAGAACAUAUGUGUAAGUAACUGUGCACAUCUUGACGGUACCUAAUCAGAAAGCCACGGCUAACUACGUG